rnacentral:tRNA from 1 species
GCCGGAGUGGCGGAAUUGGUAGACGCAAGGGACUUAAAAUCCCUCAGAGGAAACUCUGUACCGGUUCAAAUCCGGUCUCCGGCA